rnacentral:rRNA from 1 species
GCUUAGACGUAAACCCAGACAGGCCCCCCCAACCCCCCUGCCCGCCAGAGCACUACAAGUGAAAAACUUAAAACUCAAAGGACUUGACGGCACUCCACCACCCUAGAGGAGCCUGUCCUAUAAUCGAUGACCCACGUUAAACCUCACCUGCCAAUGCCCAACACAGCCUAUAUACCGCCGUCUUCAGCCCGCCUUGCAAAAGCACCAAUAGCGAGCUAGCCCGCCACCCGCCCACACGUCAGGUCAAGGUGUAGCCAAUGGGCAGGAAGAGAUGGGCUACAUUUUCUACCACAGAAAACACCAACAGCACCGUGAAACCUGUGCCAAAAGGAGGAUUUAGAAGUAAGCCGGACAAGACCAGCCCGACUGAACCCUGCCCUGGAGUGAGU